CUCCCAUCGUUGGCCUCGGAUGCGUCCCCGACCUCGUCCGCCUCGGAUGCGCCGGGCUCGUUGCUGCAGCUCCCGGUCAUUACGAUCCACGAAGAAGCAAAAUAAUUAAAGCUGUACCAACUAUAUGCUCCGCAGCUGAUCCUCCAAGGCAAGCACUCAAUCACUCACUUUGCUCGAACCGGACAAGAGAGCUUUGCACCAACAUGGCACAAAAGAGCUUUCUUGGGGAAUGGAUAGAGGAAGAAGAGAAACGGGGAGAGGUGAAGGGUGUUGGGUGGAGGAGCAGAUGGGGACAGGAGGCAGUUCUAGUAGUCAUCGCAGGCGCACAUCCAAGCUAUUAAAAAAGCACAUAAUGGCCGGGUCGCCUGGGCUAGACUUUGUCUACGAGUUGCUCGCCAUGACUGCACGGGGAGAGGAAGAGGAUGAAGCGAUGUGGGGGCACAUAACUCCACCUAAACUACUGAAAGAGGCCCGCCCCCACCAUCAUGCCAAUAUAUUAGUGGUAGCAGCCCCAGCCAUGCCCUUCUAUUAUUGAACCGAUGAGAUCCGGAACAUGAGGGAGGCGAGCUUCACGAUGGCAACUUGCUUUUGCUAAUCAUCUUCUCUUUUCACAGCUAUUUCGUCUUGAGGAUAAGUUCCCCAUCUGCUAUUGGUGAGUCGGGAUGCCGUGGGACCCGGUGAAUCCAUCAACCUCGAGUCACCUUCAUCUAGAAAGCCUGGAGUCUGGACCCUGUCUGAGCUCACACAGCUACGCAAAUCUUCCUUGUCAUUUGCCUUGGUGCAUAAGAAACUUGGCCUUUUUUUUCUUUCUUCUUCACGUCAGCGAUGGGAUUAAUUAUAAAUCAAGCGGCU
rnacentral:lncRNA from 1 species